CGGGAUGUAGCACAGCUUGGUAGUGCAUCUGCUUUGGGAGCAGAGGGUCACAGGUUCGAAUCCUGCCAUCCCGACCA
rnacentral:tRNA from 1 species